GGGUUGUGAGGUUAAGCGACUAAGCGUACACGGUGGAUGCCCUGGCAGUCAGAGGCGAUGAAGGACGUGCUAAUCUGCGAUAAGCGUCGGUGAGGUGAUAUGAACCGUUAUAACCGGCGAUUUCCGAAUGGGGAAACCCAGUGUGUUUCGACACACUAUCAUUAACUGAAUCCAUAGGUUAAUGAGGCGAACCGGGGGAACUGAAACAUCUAAGUACCCCGAGGAAAAGAAAUCAACCGAGAUUCCCCCAGUAGCGGCGAGCGAACGGGGAGGAGCCCAGAGUCUGAAUCAGUGUGUGUGUUAGUGGAAGCGUCUGGAAAGGCGCGCGAUACAGGGUGACAGCCCCGUACACAAAAAUGCACAUAUUGUGAGCUCGAUGAGUAGGGCGGGACACGUGGUAUCCUGUCUGAAUAUGGGGGGACCAUCCUCCAAGGCUAAAUACUCCUGACUGACCGAUAGUGAACCAGUACCGUGAGGGAAAGGCGAAAAGAACCCCGGCGAGGGGAGUGAAAAAGAACCUGAAACCGUGUACGUACAAGCAGUGGGAGCCUCUUAAUGGGGUGACUGCGUACCUUUUGUAUAAUGGGUCAGCGACUUAUAUUCUGUAGCAAGGUUAACCGAAUAGGGGAGCCGAAGGGAAACCGAGUCUUAACUGGGCGUUAAGUUGCAGGGUAUAGACCCGAAACCCGGUGAUCUAGCCAUGGGCAGGUUGAAGGUUGGGUAACACUAACUGGAGGACCGAACCGACUAAUGUUGAAAAAUUAGCGGAUGACUUGUGGCUGGGGGUGAAAGGCCAAUCAAACCGGGAGAUAGCUGGUUCUCCCCGAAAGCUAUUUAGGUAGCGCCUCGUGAAUUCAUCUCCGGGGGUAGAGCACUGUUUCGGCAAGGGGGUCAUCCCGACUUACCAACCCGAUGCAAACUGCGAAUACCGGAGAAUGUUAUCACGGGAGACACACGGCGGGUGCUAACGUCCGUCGUGAAGAGGGAAACAACCCAGACCGCCAGCUAAGGUCCCAAAGUCAUGGUUAAGUGGGAAACGAUGUGGGAAGGCCCAGACAGCCAGGAUGUUGGCUUAGAAGCAGCCAUCAUUUAAAGAAAGCGUAAUAGCUCACUGGUCGAGUCGGCCUGCGCGGAAGAUGUAACGGGGCUAAACCAUGCACCGAAGCUGCGGCAGCGACACUAUGUGUUGUUGGGUAGGGGAGCGUUCUGUAAGCCUGUGAAGGUGUGCUGUGAGGCAUGCUGGAGGUAUCAGAAGUGCGAAUGCUGACAUAAGUAACGAUAAAGCGGGUGAAAAGCCCGCUCGCCGGAAGACCAAGGGUUCCUGUCCAACGUUAAUCGGGGCAGGGUGAGUCGACCCCUAAGGCGAGGCCGAAAGGCGUAGUCGAUGGGAAACAGGUUAAUAUUCCUGUACUUGGUGUUACUGCGAAGGGGGGACGGAGAAGGCUAUGUUGGCCGGGCGACGGUUGUCCCGGUUUAAGCGUGUAGGCUGGUUUUCCAGGCAAAUCCGGAAAACCAAGGCUGAGGCGUGAUGACGAGGCACUACGGUGCUGAAGCGACAAAUGCCCUGCUUCCAGGAAAAGCCUCUAAGCAUCAGGUAACAUCAAAUCGUACCCCAAACCGACACAGGUGGUCAGGUAGAGAAUACCAAGGCGCUUGAGAGAACUCGGGUGAAGGAACUAGGCAAAAUGGUGCCGUAACUUCGGGAGAAGGCACGCUGAUAUGUAGGUGAAGCGACUUGCUCGUGGAGCUGAAAUCAGUCGAAGAUACCAGCUGGCUGCAACUGUUUAUUAAAAACACAGCACUGUGCAAACACGAAAGUGGACGUAUACGGUGUGACGCCUGCCCGGUGCCGGAAGGUUAAUUGAUGGGGUUAGCGGUAACGCGAAGCUCUUGAUCGAAGCCCCGGUAAACGGCGGCCGUAACUAUAACGGUCCUAAGGUAGCGAAAUUCCUUGUCGGGUAAGUUCCGACCUGCACGAAUGGCGUAAUGAUGGCCAGGCUGUCUCCACCCGAGACUCAGUGAAAUUGAACUCGCUGUGAAGAUGCAGUGUACCCGCGGCAAGACGGAAAGACCCCGUGAACCUUUACUAUAGCUUGACACUGAACAUUGAGCCUUGAUGUGUAGGAUAGGUGGGAGGCUUUGAAGUGUGGACGCCAGUCUGCAUGGAGCCGACCUUGAAAUACCACCCUUUAAUGUUUGAUGUUCUAACGUGGGCCCCUAAUCGGGGUUGCGGACAGUGUCUGGUGGGUAGUUUGACUGGGGCGGUCUCCUCCUAAAGAGUAACGGAGGAGCACGAAGGUUGGCUAAUCCUGGUCGGACAUCAGGAGGUUAGUGCAAUGGCAUAAGCCAGCUUGACUGCGAGCGUGACGGCGCGAGCAGGUGCGAAAGCAGGUCAUAGUGAUCCGGUGGUUCUGAAUGGAAGGGCCAUCGCUCAACGGAUAAAAGGUACUCCGGGGAUAACAGGCUGAUACCGCCCAAGAGUUCAUAUCGACGGCGGUGUUUGGCACCUCGAUGUCGGCUCAUCACAUCCUGGGGCUGAAGUAGGUCCCAAGGGUAUGGCUGUUCGCCAUUUAAAGUGGUACGCGAGCUGGGUUUAGAACGUCGUGAGACAGUUCGGUCCCUAUCUGCCGUGGGCGCUGGAGAACUGAGGGGGGCUGCUCCUAGUACGAGAGGACCGGAGUGGACGCAUCACUGGUGUUCGGGUUGUCAUGCCAAUGGCACUGCCCGGUAGCUAAAUGCGGAAGAGAUAAGUGCUGAAAGCAUCUAAGCACGAAACUUGCCCCGAGAUGAGUUCUCCCUGACUCCUUGAGAGUCCUGAAGGAACGUUGAAGACGACGACGUUGAUAGGCCGGGUGUGUAAGCGCAGCGAUGCGUUGAGCUAACCGGUACUAAUGAACCGUGAGGCUUAACCUUACAACGCCGAAG
rnacentral:rRNA from 1 species